AGAAAUGUAAUCAUCAUUUUGAGUGGUACUUCACUUGCCCAAAGAGGGCUGUGACAAAAUCAUCAUAUCUGCUAGUUGGACAAACAAGGCUUCACAGCAACUUUCUUGCAACUUUUAAUAACCAUGGAUGAAUGGAGCUGGGAUAAUCAAGUUCACGCGUAAUUUACCGCGAAGGAUUGUAUUUCAUUUUGCUGUCACACACCCUAUUUAUAAUCUUCUGCAUUGCUCUGAGAAGGGACUCUGGAAGGAGGAGCUGUCUUGGGUAUCACAGGACGUGCAGCUCCACACACACACAGCAAUGCCAGAGCUUGCUGAUCAUCCCCCAGCGUAAACAGGAGCAGCAAAGUGGCGCUCUGACAGGAUCAUGAAAGAGUCAUGAGGAGACCCAAAACAACAGAUGGCAGUAAAGCAUUAUUGGGUCUCCUAACCAAAAGGAAUGGAGGUGUGUGAUAUUACAAGCUUCCAGAUGGCAGACUGUAGAAAUGAGAAUUCCACUAUCUGCUCUUGUGAAUCCUAACCACUGCACAUCAUAGAAAGGUAUAAUUACUUAUAGGGAGAAGGUGUUUUCAAUGAUUUUGAGUGAUAUUUCACUCAAGUUACAAGAUGAAAUAUUUUCUGGACAGGUAGAGCUGAAACUUAGGCACAUUUGUGUCAUUCAAGAGCUUGGUGUGGUCAGUUCUUUUCCUUAGCUGCACUUGAAGUCUUAGUUUUUAUUGCCUUGAACAUACCAGUUCCUUUCUGUAAAAGUGUCCUGAAAGCAUCUCAUGACCAAAUAUAAUAAAGAGGGUCAAAACUUGACACCAUAUUGGGGUUGUGUCUUUAACUUUCUUUUGUUUGGGAAGCAUCCCUCAAGACAGAUUUAAUCUGAAAGGUUUCAAUCUGAGGGUUGUGGCUUGAAAACCCUAGUCUAUUAAUUAAUUGUUGACUGCCACAGGUCUCUGUUAGUUCCCCCUUUUAUAAUAUGAAUAAUGUGAACUAUGGCCUGAUGUUCAAUGAAUAUAUUCAUUUUUAUUGUAUUAGUCUUAGAAUAAACCUUAGUGAAAGAAUGA